rnacentral:lncRNA from 10 species
CCUGAAUUCUGCUUAGGAUAUAUCUUCAGUACAUAAAUUCCACAGGAACCAGGUAUAACAGCUCUUAGGUAAAGAUAGAUAAAAAUAAUAGGAAAGUAUGAUCUAAGCUAAUAUCUUUGGAAUAGGUGAAAAUUUCAAUAUUUACUCCUCACCCCUUACUGAGAACCAGAAACAAAUAUACAGUAUCAAGAUUUUCAUCAGCAACAACCCAGAACUCAAAUAUGCAGAUGAGGUAUUUCACAGGUCCUAGCCAGCCUUUCCACAUUGUAAGGACUUUGAAAUGUUCUGCAGGUAAAAUUGGGAAAGGGUGAUCUCAACAAGGAGAAAACAAUCCUGAAGAGCCAGAUCCUUGAGUAGAAUCUGCUCAUUGAUCUCCAGGUUGAAUGGAGAGCGGCUCAAAAAAGGAGAAGAGACAUGUUUGUAGCAUGCAGCAGAAAUGAGAAAAAUGAAAAGAGUGAAAAGGAGAGGACUCAGAUAUUAUAAGGCAGGAAACUAAACUACACUCACGGACUGAAAGAGAGAUUAACCACAUGUAAUACAAACUUUACAAGAGACAAUAUUGUUGAGUAAAGAUUAAAACAAAUGGCCUUUAAAGUGACAGAAAGAUUAUAGGAGUCUUCAUAUUGAGGACUUUGCUUAUGUUAUCUCAUUAAUGUGUUUCAUCAUUUCUCUUUUUGAUGUUUAUGUUAGCUGGGACUUAGUCUUCCUGGACUGAUACUUUAAUGCUCUUUCUUUUUUUGUGUGCUUUUUAUCUCCUUUUUAAAUAAUUGUUUUCUUAAAAUAAUUUAGAGCACAUUUAAGCAAUGUGUGGCACUUUUUCAGAUUUUAUACAUAAACAAGAAACUCUAAGCAAAUGGUUAAAGUAAGUAUGUAGCAGUGUGCAUUCUGUAUAUUUUGCCACGUGCAUGGAUAUUUUAUUUCACUUAAAACAUUUUUAAGUGAAUUAUAGAGACUGUAAAGUGCCUAUGAUAAGAAAUAGAUAUGGAGUUCUUACUAUUUGGCCAAAAAAUUUCAUUUUAAGGAAAAAAUUUAAAGAAAUAAUUGGAAAUAUACAUAGAAUUUUAUGUAAAGAUACUCAAUAUGGGAGUUCCAAUUUUUAAAAGGUGGCAUAAGCCAGGUGCCAUGGCUCACGCCUGUAAUCCCACCACUUUGGGAGCCCGAGGCAGGUGGAUCACAAGGUCAGGAGUUUGAAACUAGCCUGGUCAAUAUGGUGAAACCCAGUCCCUACUAAUAAUACAAAAAUUAGCCGAGCUUGGUGGCGCACGCCUGUAGUCCCAGCUGCUUGGGAGACUGAGGCAGAAUUGCUUGAACUCAGGAGGCAGAGGCUGCAGUGAGCCAAGAUGAUACCAUUGCACUCCAGCCUGGGCGACAGAGCAAGACUCCAUCUCAAAAAUAAAUAAAUAAAUAAAUAAAUAAAUAAAUAAAUAAAUAAGGUGGCAAAGAAGCAAGCUUUACUCCCCACUCCCUACUGAAAACCAAAAACAAAUAUAUAGUAUGGGGAUUUUCAUCAGCAACAAUCCAGAACUCAAAUAUGCAGAUGAGGCAGAUCCCAGGGCCACAGACAGGUGAAGAAACUCCACGCAGAUGGUAGGAGAAUCAAACUUAUAUAUCUGGGAGGCCCUACGUCACUUUCUCUGCCAAACAACAAGCAUUAGGAACAUCUUUCCCAACUCACAGAUUCUACACUGGAAAAGGUGAGACUGAGUUGGUCAACCAGCUUUCCCACCAUCUUGGGUUCCCUGCUAGGAGACCUGUUGCCAUAACCCAUGGGAACAUCGUGACCUCCUGAAGGGAGAAAUAUCCCUGAGGACAGGCAGAGAGAAAGAGGGUAGGUAGAAAUAACAUCCUCAGCCACAGAAACUCUGCUCUGUAAGUUGGCCAAAGGAAAUGCUAAAUCAAGAGUGGCUGCUCAGCAGCAGCACCACACUAUUGACUAUUUGGCCAAGAAGUUAACCUUUAAGGAAAAAAAAAAAGAAAAAGAAAACCUUAAAGAAAUAAUCAAAAGUAUACACAGAAUUUUAUAUAAAGAUACUCAAUAUGGGAGUUCUAGUUUUAAAAAGGUGGCAUAGAAGCAAGCUUCACUCCCCACCCCCUACUGAAAACAAAAAACAAAUAUACAGUAUGAAGAUUUUCAUCAGCAACAACCCAGAACUCAAAAUAUGCAGAUGAGGUGUUUCAUAGGUCUAACCAGCCUUUCCAUACUGUUAGGAUAAUCUCUUUGGGACCUCUCCCAUUCAGGAUAGACAGCUCUCUAAUCAUUUAAUAGAGCCAAGGCAAACCUGGGCUUAAGGGACCACCUGCAGCAGUAAAAAGGCAGUGACCUAGCAGUAAAUAUUUGCUAAAUCAAUUUGUCCAAUAAAAAUCAAAACAAGCCAGAUAGAGAAAACUAGAAUACAUUUUUCAAUGCAAAAACAGAAACAUAUAGCCACAAGAAACACCAGCAAACAGGGAGCCAUGACCUCCUAAAAAAAAAAAAAAAAAAAAAAAAAAAAAGCAAAUAUCCAGCGAACAACCCUAAUGAGAUGGUGAUUUGUAAGCACUCUUCCCAAAAAGUGAAAAUAACAGUUUUAAGAAAAAUCAGUGAUCUCCAAGAUAGCACAGAAAAGCAAUUCAGAAAGUUAUCAGAGAAAUUUAACAAAGAGGUUUAGAUAAUAAUAAUAAAAUAAAUAAUAAUAAAAUAAAUAAUAAUAAUAUUUAUUAUUAUAGAUAAUAAAAACUCAAACAGAAAUAUUGGAACUGAGAAAUACAUUUGCUGAACAGAAGAACUCAUUAGAGGCUCUCAACAGCAGAAUGAACUAAGCAGAGGGGAAAAAAAAAUCACUGAGCUCAAAUACCAUCUAUUUGGAAAUAUAGUCAGAGGAGAAAAAAGAAAAAUCAAAAGGAAUGAAGACCACCUAUAAGAUAGAAAAUUAACUUAAAAGUCCAAAUGUAAGAAUUAUUAGUGUUCAAAAGAGAACUGAGCAAGAGCAACAGGUAGAAAGCUUAUUCGGAGAAAUUACAACAGAAAAUUAUACAUCUGGGUACACGAAGGUCUGAGAACACCAAAUUGAGUUAACCCAAAUAAGAUUACCACAUGGCAUAGAUUAAUGGAACUCUCAAUGUCAAGGACAAAGAGAUGAUCUUAAAAGUAGAAAGAUAAAGGAGGAAAAUAACAUGUAAUGGAGCUCCAAUUCAUCUAGGAACAGUCUCUUCAACAGAAACUGUACAGGUCAGGAGAAAGUGGAAUGACAUUUUCAAAGUGCUCAAAGAAAAAAACUACUAUCCAAGAGUACUGUACUCAGAAUAUUAUUUUUCAGAUAUGAAGGAGAAAUAAAUCUUUUCCAGAUAAGAAAAAUUGAAAGAAUUCAACACUACCAGACCUGUCUUCCAAAAGAAGUUCUUGAAUCUAAAAGAAAAAAAAACCAAACUAAUAUCCAAAAACCAAAGAAAAGAAAAAAGUUUUCAAGGUAAAACACCCAUUGGUAAAAUUAAGUACAUGAACAAACCCAGAAUACUCUAUUUUUGCAAUUGUGAUGUGCAUUCCAUUCAGAACUCUAAGCGCAAAAGACAAAUCUAUCAAAAACAAUAAUAGCUCCAGACACCUGUUAAGAGAUAGGUAAUAUAAAAAUGGGUAAUUUGAGAUAUAGAAAAGUUAAAAUGAGGGAAAUGGAGUUAAAGUGUGUAAUUUUUUUUCUUUGUUGCCUUUGUUUCAUUUAUUUUAUUUGUGAUUUAAGAAAAAUUGCCACCUUUUAAAAUAACUUGUUAUUUUUUUUGUAAGCCUCAUAGUAACCACAGCACAAAAAAACUAUAAUUGAGUCAUGAAAAAUAAAAAGUGACAAAUUAAAACAUACUAUGUGAUAUGGUUUGGCUGUGUCCCCACCCAAAUCUCAUCUUGAAUUGGAGGUCCCAUAAUUCCCACAUGUUGUGGAAAGAACCUGGUGGGAGAUAAUUGAAUCAUGGUGGCAGUUUCCCCCAUACUGUUCUCGUGGUAGUGAUUAAGUCUCACAAGAUCUGAUGGUUUUAUGAGGGGUCUCCCCUUUUGCUUGGGUCUCAUUCUCUCUUGCCUGCUGCCAUGUAAAAUGUGCCUUUUGCCUUCCCCCAUGAUUGUGAGGCCUCCCCAGCCAUGUGGAACUGUGAGUCAAUUAAACCUCUCUUUCUUUAUAAAUUCCCCAGUCCUGGGUAUGUCUAUAUUAGCAGCGUGAGAACAAACCAAUACAGUACCAGAGCAAAACCACUUAACAACAAAGGAAGACAGUACGAAAGGAAGCAAGAAAGAAAAGAGUCACAAAACAACUAGACAGGCAAUAAGAUGGCAGCAGUAAGUACUUACUCAUCAAUAAUAACACUGAAUAUAAACGAUCUCGAUUCUCCAAUUAAAAGACAAAAAGUGGCCGAAUGGAUAAAUAAACAAGACUCAACAAUAUUCAACAUACAACCAUAAAGGAGUCAAUUCAGCAACAAGAUACAACAAUUAUAUGUGUGUAUAUAUAUAUGCACCCAACAUUGGAGCUCACAAGUAUAUAAACCAAAUGUUAGUAAAUCUAAAGGGAGAGAUGGACUGCAGUACAAUAAUAGUAAGGGACUUUAUACCCCACUCUCAGUAAUGGACAGAUCAUCCAGACAGAAAAUCAACAACAACAAAACAGCAGAGUUAAACUACACACUAGAUCUGAUAGGCCUAACUGAUAUUUACAUAACAUUUCACUCAGCUGCUACAGAAUACACAUUCUUUCCAUCUGUACAUAAAACAUCCUCCAGAAUAAAACAUGUCUUAGGCAUGGUCUUUAUAAAACAAAAC